rnacentral:rRNA from 1 species
UUACUGGGCGUAAGCGCACGCAGGCGGUCUGUCAAGUCGGAUGUGAAAUCCCCGGGCUCAACCUGGGAACUGCAUUCGAAACUGGCAGGCUAGAGUCUUGUAGAGGGGGGUAGAAUUCCAGGUGUAGCGGUGAAAUGCGUAGAGAUCUGGAGGAAUACCGGUGGCGAAGGCGGCCCCCUGGACAAAGACUGACGCUCAGGUGCGAAAGCGUGGGGAGCAAACAGGAUUAGAUACCCUGGUAGUCCACGCCGUAAACGAUGUCGACUUGGAUGUUGUGCCCU